GACUUCCUUCGGGGUGGGGUGGAAUUCCCUACCGGCGGUGAUGGCGUGAGCCUCAGCCCGCGAAGCCCGCGCAAAUUGCACCACGCGCAGGCCCGAUCUGGUGGGAAUCCAGAGCCGACGGUCAGAGUCCGGAUGAGAGAAGGAGGAA
rnacentral:ncRNA from 2 species